CUAGCGUGCGGGAAGGUUUGAAUCGCAGCUGUUUGCCUUCGCUUCUUCUCCGGGGUCAGAGCUGUCGUUGCUGCUGCCGCUGCUCUUCCGCCACUCGGACUCGACGAAAGACCGCCAAACACUCUCCCUUUGGCCUUACUCCUCUCGGUUAUGAUUGUUUUCUUUCAUCGAGAAACAUAACUUGCUGGUAAUUUGUUAAACUCAAGACAAAUUCCUCGAGAAGCAGUCGUGGGCAGGCGCAGACGUUUCUACUCCGACCAUUUUGGCAAAUUAAAAGCACAAGGGCCGUUGAUUGUCCUCAUUUCCACGACUUUUCAGCUCAGAACUGCUUGCUGUCCUUUGCCUUGGAAGGACAUUUUAUCCGUAGUCAUAAUAAUGGCGGCUGAAGUGCAAAUAGUACUUUAUGAAGAUGACUCAGUGCAAGUACAAUAUGUUGAUGGUUCCAGAUUGCAGCUUUCUCCCUGUGGCUCUGAAUUUUUAUUUGAAAAAGCACCUCCUAUUUCAGCACAUCCUUUACAACAACCAGAAAGAAUUCGCCAAAGGACACACUUUGUUAUUAGCACGUACAGAGAGCAGCUACAGCGAGCCCUAGAUUUCCGUAACUCUUUUGCUACUUGCCCUUUUUUAUCUGAAAGCAUCAUACCUUCUGAAAGGAAAAAGCGUAUCUUCACUGACAUCUCAGAAGUGAGAUGGCCCGGUCUUGAUACUGAUGAUGGCAUGGUACGUAUGCAGAGUGGCACCGUGAAGAUAUCAUCUUUAGAUGGUCAUGCAUACCUUUGCCUGCCCAAAUCUCAGAAUGAAUUUACAGUACAUUUUUUGUGUAAAGUAAGCCAGAAGCCAAACUCAUCUAUAGUACUGUCAGAAAAAAAUAAUAAAGCCAAAAAGCACAAACUAGUUGAAAAAGCUGGCAAAAUCUGUACAUAUGGAAGUUUAUCAGGACAGAGACUGAAGAAUAAAGAAAAUGAACUUUAUUAUCAGAUCACGAAAUCCAAAGAACCUUUAGAGAAGAGUUGUGUAAAUGGAACUGAAGGGAGGGAGGCGCUGUCUUCACCUGGGACAAAAGACACGUGUGUAUACACGUGGGUAAAGCAGUGCUGGUCUGUGGCCUCCUGUCCGGAGGAAUGGAAAUAUCCUUUGUCUUUAGCACUUCGUUUUCAUAAUAAAAUCAGCAAUAUGUCUGGAACUGAUGCAGAUAUCACCCAGAAGAGAAUUUUAACUUCUGACGUUUCUGAGGAAAGAGGAAAAGAAGUUUCUGUUCUUCCCAGGGCCCUGUUACUAAGCUGUCCUGUCCCACACCUGCACAGGUGGAAUUAUUGUGAUUCACUUUCACAGUUCGGUGAAGAAGAAUAUUCCUAUCCUGAACUAGUGAAAGUGGUUUGGUACAAGGGUAUUACCUAUAGACUUACCCACAAAAAUAUGAACUCAAUAGAGGUUUAUCCUGGAGAUGGAUCUGUUUUCAAAUCAGAAGGAGCUUAUUUGGGAAACUAUUUUAUAUAUUAUUCCAUUCAAGAAGGAUCAGAAAAGAGAGAAGACAAAACUUAUUCAGUAAAUAACCUUCCUCCAGAUAGACCAGGAAGUCCAUUUUCUGUUUGUUCUCUAAUUAAACAGGCAACCAGAAUUCUUCAGCAUUGUGCCAAGGUGAAGCUUUCUUUAAGCCAUAACUAUCAUAUAUGCUGCUGGAAAAUGGUACCUGGGAUAAAUGAUAGCAAUAUACUGCCUUUGCUUUUGAGAGAAUCGUUCAUACCCAACGUGGGAAGAUUUCUUGCAUACUCUGAUGACAAAGUACAUGCUGUCUUUUCAGAUGGCAUUACUCUGACCCUGAAUUGGAAUUUCAGCUCUCUUAUUGAAAAGAGACAGGUAAAUCGAGGUCUCAAUUUAGGUUGGUGUAAGUUAACUUUUCCUGAUGGACAAAAUCAGUUAAUUCAGAUUCAACACCCUGGACCAUAUGAAAGAUAUGUGACAACAGUAAUAUCAUGGUGCAGAAGACUGACCCAGACUAGUCAGAAAGAAUUGCCUACACAUCCUUCAUCUUCUGUUCCGGAAGAAAACUGGCUGGAGUACAAGGAAAGAGUGCAGGCUGAUGAGGUGCAUGUGGUCCAUUGCGUGUGGUCCAUUGUCUGCCAGUAAAGCAGACAAGUCGUAUACCCUAUUGUGAGCUGUGAAAAGACUAUUCUAGUGACUUGAAUAAAGAGAUGUUUGCAUGAAUGUCCUCAUUAAUUUUGCAGAGCUAGUCCAGUUACACUAUUUUCUAGUUGUGUGCCACUGCUCAUACUUCAUCUAGUGAUGAGGGAAAACACAAAGAACACACACAUAAGAGGUUCUGCUGGAUUUGUAUACAUUUACCCUUCUAUCCCAUACCAGUUGCCCCUAUAUCUGUUUCUAUGGAACAUGGUAAGGGCUAAUGUUCAUAUGUUAACCCUUCAAGUCAAGAAGAGAAUGUUUAGUAUACUGUGCUUAAGAAAACAAUGAAAUGAUUAGGUAGUCUAUUCCAGAAGAAAUUUAAUAGAAAAUAAUUAUUAUGUUUUCACACCUAAUUCAAUCGUAUAAAAAGUUGGCCCUGGAGACCAUCCAUUCCCUAAGAGUUCCAUAUAAAUGAGGUCUUACUAUAUGUGUAAGAUCCCUUCUCCUCCAAAGAAACUAUCUAGGUAUGAAGAUCAGAAAAUUAAAUAGUGCAAGAGAAAGCAUUACAAAGAAGUUUAUGAUUAAUUAACAUACUGCUGUAGGAAUUCUAAGGAGAGAGUAUUUCUUUCAUAGAAGUGAUGAGAUUUUAGUAGGUUUUUAAAGUUUUAGUAAACCUUGAGGAGGAAAGUAGAAGAUAUGCCACGUCAGUACUGAGUUGUAGCAGGAAGGCCCAUUACCUUCAAACCUCAAUACUUAAUUCAAAAGUCCUGGAGGUGGAGGAUUUUUAUUCACUUGCCUUAGUCAUGAAAUGCACUCAGUAAGUAUCAGUUGAGUCCAGGUGAUUUGUUGCUAAAUAAAGCCAAUAUAAAGAGAAUUCUUAAUCUCUAGGUUCUUAUGUCAAAAAUUCUAACCUUUAUGAAAAAAAAAAUUAAGUAUGCUUAUUUGAAAUAUUGUGGAUAUAAAAGAAUCAGACAACUAGCAUGAGUUUUUUUUUGCACAGGUCUGUGGCUUCUGAACUUGAAAAGAUACAGAAGUUUAACUUAUUAUUGGAGAACAGUGGUGUCCUAAGCCAGAUUUCUAACAAGAAAAAUGAACAGUCUUUGGAUCAUUGUAAACCAGAAUCUUCAGAAACCUUGCUAAAAGAAGUU